CUCAGCUCUGCCUUUCUGAGGGGCAGGACCCCGCUCGUGCAUGCUGAGGGGGAAGGGAGCUGCUGAGCCCCGUCCCGGUGUGCUUUUCUGCAGGGUCCAGCUGGGAUGGAGGGGUCCUCUGGUCCCAAAGGAGACACCGUAAGAGCUUCUCACCCAGCUUGCUUUGGCCUCUGGUGGGGAUGAAACCUGGGCUCGAGAGCUUCCCCUGGAGGCAGCCCCCUUCCAUGGGUGCCGUGCUGCUUUCAGAGGGGCUGUGCCUGCAGCAGACCCCCUGAACGCAGCCGUGGGGGGAACCUGGCUGAUGCUGACGUUCCCCUUGCAGGGUGCAGAGGGGGUCCCUGGCCUCAGGGGACAGCUGGGACAGGAGGGACCUGGGGGGUUUAUUGGCCUGCCGGGUUCAAAAGGCACCCAAGGAGAGAGGGGCUGCCGAGGUCCUGCUGGAGCCAAGGGAGACCUGGGAGCCAAAGGAGACAAGGUACGAGGUUCCCAGGCUGAGGCUUGGAGCCACUUUGUGUCCCUUUGCCUUCUAGAGCUGUGAAAAUCAGCCAGACCGAGCUCUGCAUGCUCACACCGUGCAGCUGCUCCUCAGCCGCCCUUUGUCACCUUUCCUUGGUUUGAUGUCUAAAAUCCUGCCUUGGUUUGGUGUUUAAAAAAAGUCACUGUUCUGGGUCCUCGGGAUGCUCUCGGUGGGGGCUGUGGGGCGGUCACCAAGGGGGGCUGCAGGCUGGCCGUGACGUGCUGCCACCUUGUCUCCCAAGGGUCCUCAUGGAGCACAGGGAGCAACGGGGCCUCCAGGACCGCGGGGUCAAACAGGCUUGCAGGGCUUCCCCGGCCCCCGCGGGGCGGCAGGACCCCGGGGACCCGAGGUAAGGCAGGGUGCUGGGGGGGGUACAGGCAGGUGGCCUGGGAGGGGACAGCCCUGAGGGCUGCAAGGAGUGCGGCCAGCACUACCAGCUGCUGCCACCGCUGCCU
rnacentral:lncRNA from 1 species